rnacentral:tRNA from 1 species
GGAGAGGUGGCCGAGUUGGUAAGGCAGCGGGUUGCUAACCCGUAACGGGUCACGCCGUCAGGGGUUCGAGUCCCUUCCUCUCCGCCA